rnacentral:rRNA from 1 species
UGCCGAAUCAAGCAGCCUUGAAAAUGGAUGGCGCUUGAGCAAAAUACUUAGACAAUACCAUAUAUUUAUAUAAAUAAAUUAAAAUAAAUAUAUGUGUAGGCUGGCGUAGUAAUAGCAUUGAAGGUUAUAAGCGUAAGCUUAACUGGAGCUGUUAUUAGUGCAGAUCUUGGUGAUAGUAGCAAAUACACAAGUGAGAAUCUUGUGGACCGAAGUGGAAAAGGGUUUCACGUCAACAUCAUUUGACUGUGAGUUAGUCGGUCCUAAGCUAAAAUUGAAAAAUUUUUAUUCAUAUAUAGCAAAAGGGAAAUAGAUUAAUAUUUCUAUACUAUCUAUGGAGAUAAUAUAGGAUAAAAACUAUAUUAUGCAUGGUAACAUAAAUGAAAUUAACUACAAUAUAACAAGUUUUGGGUAGAGAUAUCUUCUCUAUUUAAGUUAUUAAAUCUAUGGAAAUUGCUCAGCAAGAGAUAUAGAUGAAAUUUUAUUAACGUAGAGUACUAACAUUUUGUUGGUAUCCAAAGUGCUUGUUAUAUUACUUAAAAAGUUAAUGAAAGCAUAAUAAAUUUCAUAGAAUAACCGUACCCAUAUCCGCAACAGGUUUCCAAGAUGUUUAGUCUCUGGUCGAUGAAAUAAUGUAGGUAAGGGAAGUCGGCAAAAUAGAUUCGUAACUUUGGGAAAAGAAUUGGCUCUUGAGAUGUAGAUAUUCGGGUAUUAUGUAUCAAUGGUUAUUUUAAUUAAUAUAAAAUGAAUACUAGUAAUAGUUAUUUGAUUUAUAUUUAUUAUUAAUCAUUAACAUUAUACUUACAAAUAUUUGAAAUAUAAUAUUUUAACGAAUAUCAAUAUAUAUACAUUAAUCAAGAACUGGCACGGACAAGAGGAAUCCGACUGUCUAAUUAAAACAGAGGAGACAGAUGAUGCUAGAUGCAUGUAGACUGUGUCUGAUUUCUGCCCAGUGCAAUGAAUGUUAUCAUUGGGAAACCAAUUGAAGCUCUUGUAAACGGCGGGAGUAACUAUGACUCUCUUAAGGUAGCCAAAUGCCUCGUCGGGUAAUUUCCGACGCGCACGAAUGGAUUAACGAGAUUCCUACUGUCCCUAUCUACCAUUCAGCGAAAUCACAGCCAAGGGAACGGGCUUGGCAAAAACAGCGGGGAAAGAAGACCCUGUUGAGCUUGACUCUAGCUAGGCAUUGUGAAGUGUCAUAUGAGGUGUAGCAUAGGUGGGAGUUAUUUUAUUAUAACGAUCUUGAAAUACCACUACUUAUAUUGAUACUUUACUUAGUUGAUUAUAUGGAAAUUUUAUACUAUAAAAUGUAUAAUAUUUGUUGUAUUAAAUUAAUAUUUUUGAAAUAUUUAAUAAUCCACGUCAAUGAUCAUGUCUGGCGGGGAGUUUGACUGGGGCGGUACAUCUAUCAAACUGUAACGUAGGUGUCCUAAGGCAAACUCAAAGAGGACAGAAACCUCUUGUAGAGUAAAAGGGCAAAAGUUUGCUUGAUCAUGAUUUUCAGUACGAAUACAGACCCUGAAAGGGUGGCCUAUCGAUCCUUUUGUAUUAGUAUGUUUCUAAAAAGAGGUGCCAGAAAAGUUACCACAGGGAUAACUGGCUUGUGGCAGCCAAGAGUCCAUAUCGACGUUGCUUUUUGAUCCUUCGAUG